UACGUAGGGUGCAAGCGUUAAUCGGAAUUACUGGGCGUAAAGCGUGUGCAGGCGGUUCGGAAAGAAAGAUGUGAAAUCCCAGGGCUUAACCUUGGAACUGCAUUUUUAACUGCCGGGCUAGAGUAUGUCAGAGGGGGGUAGAAUUCCACGUGUAGCAGUGAAAUGCGUAGAGAUGUGGAGGAAUACCGAUGGCGAAGGCAGCCCCCUGGGAUAAUACUGACGCUCAUGCACGAAAGCGUGGGGAGCAAACAGG
rnacentral:rRNA from 1 species